UAGUUGUGCGUUACCUAGCAAUGNUGGAUACGCAGCGAACGGCUCCGUAACACGUGGUCANUCUGCCCNUNAGGAUGGGAAUACCCCCGGGAAACUGGGUAUAAUGCCCAAUAGGCGAAAAUGCCUGGAAUGGCCUUUCACUUAAAGGGCCUAUGAAGCAUGCUUUUUAGGUCGCCUAAGGAUGAGACUGCGUCCGAUCAGGUUGUUGGUGGGGUAACGGCCUACCAAGCCUAUAUCCGGUACGGGCCCUGAGAGGGGUAGCCCGGAGAUGGGAACUGAGACAAGGUCCCAGGCCCUACGGGGUGCAGCAGGCGCGAAACCUCCACAAUACACGAAAGUGUGAUGGGGUUAUCCCGAGUGCCGUCCGAUGAGGAUGGCUUUUACUCGGUGUAAGAUUCCGAGGGAAUAAAGGGGGGGCAAGACUGGUGUCAGCCGCCGCGGUAAUACCAGCCCCCUGAGUGGUAGGGGCGAUUAUUUGGCCUAAAGCGUUCGUAGCCGGCUUAACAAGUCCUUCGUUAAAUUCAACGACUUAAUCGUUGAGCUGCGUAAGAUACUAUUAGGCUAGAGGACGGGAGAGGUCGACGGUAUUCCUGGGGUAGGGGUGAAAUCCUAUAAUCCUAGGAGGACCACCAGUGGCGAAGGCGGUCGACUAGAACGUGCCUGACGGUGAUGGACGAAAGCUAGGGGAGCGAACCGGAUUAGAUACCCGGGUAGUCCUAGCUGUAAACGAUGCGGGCUAGGUGUUGGGGUAGCCAAGUGCUACUUCAGUGCCGCAGAGAAGUCGUUAAGCCCGCCGCCUGGGAAGUACGAUCGCAAGAUUGAAACUUAA
rnacentral:rRNA from 1 species